CACGUAUGGGGCGAGCGUUGUUCGGAAUUAUUGGGCGUAAAGGGUAUGCAGGCGGUUUGAUAAGUCUGAUGUGUAAGACUCUGGCUUAACCAGGGGAACGCGUUGGAAACUGUCGAGCUAGAGUACAGGAAGGGGAGUUGGAAUUCCAGGUGUAGGGGUGAAAUCUGUAGAUAUCUGGAAGAACAUCAGUGGCGAAGGCGAACUCCUGGCCAUGUACUGACGCUGAGAUACGAAAGCGUGGGGAGCAAACAGG
rnacentral:rRNA from 1 species